CAAUAGCGUAUAUUUAAGUUGUUGCAGUUAAAAAGCUCGUAGUUGGAUUUCGGGUGGGACGCAGCGGUCUCGCAUUGCGUUUGUACUGCUGCAGCCCUCCUUCUUGCCGGGGGCGGCCUCUCGGACUUCACUGUCUGGGGGUCAGAAUCGGCGAUGUUACUUUGAGUAAAUUAGAGUGUUCAAAGCAAGCUUACGCUCUGAAUAUAAUAGCAUGGGAUAACACGACAGGACUCUGGCCUAUCGUGUUGGUCUAUAGGACCAGAGUAAUGAUUAAGAGGGACAGUCGGGGGCAUUCGUAUUCCGUUGCCAGAGGUGAAAUUCUUGGAUUUACGGAAGACGAACAUCUGCGAAAGCAUUUGCCAAGGAUGUUUUCAUUG
rnacentral:rRNA from 1 species